GAGGGGACAGCGGGGCGGGCGGGCGGCUCUUCGCGGCGCUCCCCCCAUGGCGGUACCUGCGCUCGAAGUCGGUCCGGAAGGGCGUCAGGUCUUUCCUAAAAUCCCAGAGAAAUGGUUUUACCUAGGGUGUUUCUCUUAGACUGGCUGCAUAGUCUCACAUUCCUGCCUGAAGCACUGCAGACGUUUAGGCUGCCUCGCCUUUCACUCAGACAAGAAAGUGAGAUUGCCACAUAAUCGUUCAGAGGGUAACACAUCUAAUCCUUCGGGAGGUCAAGUGAGAUGAGGAGAAAGGAGGAGAUGCAUAGUGCUAAUGCUCUGGCAGCUCUGUCAAUUCGUUAGUAUAUGUGGAACUAUUUUAGUUUUCAAAAAACAGAAUAGUACCUAAGUUGCAUUCAUGAAUUUGUGUACUGAGCUCACUGCAGGGAAAAGCGGGAGAAUCUGGUGCAAACUGUGUGUGAAGGGCAGAACUUUUGGAAGUUCAAAAUCCUUUCCACAGACAGUCUUUUAGAUCUUGUCAGCAUCAGUUCUGAUUUACUUUUGCAGUUGGUGGCAGUUGAUCCAGGCGGUUCUUAGGUGUAACCAGUAGUGUUUUGAAUGAACAGAAAGAUGGGACAGUUCUUUAGUGCUACACUCAAAAUCUUGCUCUAGUCAGAACACCAUACAUAGAACUAAGAAUUUGCUAAAAGCCUCACUUUUCUGAUGCUAUAGUCACCCUUCCACAAUGUGCCUCUAGGUCCUGAGCUUGGCAGUCUUCCUGAUGCAGAUGAUUGAGGGGGCUUGCUUUAGGACAAGUCUUCAGCCCCUGAGGUCUUCAUGAGAAGAACAAUGAUGUUCCUGUUACAGGAUUCUAAUUCCUCAGUCUGGGCUGCACACAGUUAAAAUACUGAAUUACUCUUAAAAUCCAUGAUUUAUCUUUUGCUUCUUGACCUAUGGACUCCUUCAGCUCUCUCCUCAGUAACUCCUGUGUUGUCAUCUGAUUCAACACGUGCACGAGGAAAACUUACAGAGGGAGCUGAGUCAUUCUCUAAAUCGGGACCAACCUCCUCUGAACACAAAGUGCCCUCUGCAGCACU